ACGAAGGAUGCAAGCGUUACCCGGAUUCAUUGGGUUUAAAGGGAGCGUAGGUGGCCUUAUAAGUCAGACGUGAAAUCCCCCGGCUUAACCUGGGAACUGCGUCUGAUACUGGAAGGCUCGAGUUUGGGAGAGGGAUGUAGAAUUCCAGGUGUAGCGGUGAAAUGCGUAGAUAUCUGGAGGAAUACCGGUGGCGAAGGCGGCAUCCUGGACCAACACUGACGCUGAGGCGCGAAAGCUAGGGGAGCAAACGGGA
rnacentral:rRNA from 1 species